rnacentral:rRNA from 1 species
UACGUAGGGGGCGAGCGUUGUCCGGAUUUACUGGGCGUAAAGCGCGUGUAGGCGGUCCCUUAAGUCCGAGGUGAAAGGCGGAGGCUCAACCUCCGAGCUGCGUCGGAAACUGGGGGUCUUGAAUGUCGGAGAGGGGCGUGGAAUUCCUGGUGUAGCGGUGAAAUGCGUAGAGAUCAGGAGGAACACCGGUGGCGAAGGCGGCGCUCUGGCCGAACAUUGACGCUGAGACGCGAAAGCGCGGGGAGCGAACGGG